rnacentral:rRNA from 1 species
GUCAAGCUUCCAAGAAAAGCCCUAUACCCGUUAAGGCAUGAUGGCCUGUACCCGAAACCGACACAGGUGGGGUGGUAGAGAAUACCGAGGGGCGCGAGGUAACUCUCUCUAAGGAACUCGGCAAAAUGGCCCCGUAACUUCGGGAGAAGGGGUGCCACCGCAAGGUGGUCGCAGUAAGAGGCCCAGGCGACUGUUUACCAAAAACACAGGUCUCCGCUAAGUCGCAAGACGAUGUAUGGGGGCUGACGCCUGCCCAGUGCCGGAAGGUUAAGGAAGCUGGUCAGCGCAAGCGAAGCUGGCGACUGAAGCCCCGGUGAACGGCGGCCGUAACAAUAACGGUCCUAAGGUAGCGAAAUUCCCUGUCGGGUAAGUUCCGACCCGCACGAAAGGCGUAACGAUCUGGGCGCUGUCUCGGAGAGAGGCUCGGCGAAAUAGAAUUGUCUGUGAAGAUGCGGACUACGUGCACCCGGACAGAAAGACCCUAUGAAGCUUUACUGUAGCUUGGUAUUGUGCCCGGGCUCUGAAUGCGCAGGAUAGGUGGGAGGCUUUGAUCCAUGGCUUGCGGGUCAUGGUGAGCCAACGGUGAGAUACCACUCUUUCAGAGCUAGGGUUCUAACGGUCACCCGUCAUCCGGGGACCGGACAGUAUCAGGUGGGCAGUUUGACUGGGGCGGUCGCCUCCUAAAAGGUAACGGAGGCGCGCAAAGGUUUGCUCAGGCUAGUUGGAAAUCAGCCGACGAGUGCAAAAGCAGGAGCAAGCUUGACUGUGAGACCUACAAGUCGAACAGGGACGAAAGUCGGCUUUAGUGAUCCGACGGUUCUGAGUGGAAGGGCCGUCGCUCAACGGAUAAAAGUUACUCUAGGAUAACAGGCUGAUCUCCCCCAAGAGUUCACAUCGACGGGGAGGUUUGGCACCUUGAUGUCGGCUCAUCGCAACCUGGGGCUGAAGUCGGUCCCAAGGGUUGGGCUGUUCGCCCAUUAAAGCGGUACGCGAGCUGGGUUCAGAACGUCGUGAGACAGUUCGGUCCAUAUCCGGUGCACGCGCAGGAACAUUGAGAGGAUUUCUCCCUAGUACGAGAGGACCGGGAGGAACGCACCUCUGGUGUGCCAGUUAUCGUGCCAACGGUAAACGCUGGGUAGCCAUGUGCGGAGUGGAUAACCGCUGAAAGCAUCUAAGUGGGAAGCCCACCUCAAGAUGAGUGUUCCCAUGGCAUAAGCCAGUAAGGUCACGGGAAGAACACCCGUUGAUAGGCUCUACGUGGAAGCCGGGUAACCGGUGAAGCGGAGGAGUACUGAUAGACCGAGGGCUUGAC